AGGGCAGACGGUGGAUGCCUUGGCUCUCGGAGGCGAUGAAGGACGUGAUAAGCUGCGAUAAGCUUGGGGUAGGUGCAAAUAACCUUUGAUCCCAAGAUUUCCGAAUGGGGCAACCCGGCUGGUAGAAGGCCAGUCAUUCCGUAAGGAAGGCGAACGUGGGGAACUGAAACAUCUAAGUACCCAUAGGAGAAGAAAACAAAAGUGAUUCCGCAAGUAGUGGCGAGCGAACGCGGAACAGCCCAAACCGAUGAUGUUUAGGCAUUGUCGGGGUAGUAGGACCACGUUGUGGCAAGAGAUUAAGGAAGUAGAACGUUUUGGAACAAACGGCCGUAGACGGUGAAAGCCCAGUAUACGACUCUUUAACGAAGCCUAGUGGAAUCCUGAGUAGCGCGGAGCACGAGAAAUUCUGUGUGAAUCAGCGGGGCCCAUCCCGUAAGGCUAAAUACUCCCGAGAGACCGAUAGCGAACCAGUACUGUGAAGGAAAGGUGAAAAGCACCUCGAACAGAGGAGUGAAAUAGUCCCUGAAACCGUCUGCCUACAAGCGGUCGGAGCAACGUAAGUUGUGACGGCGUGCCUUUUGCAUAAUGAACCUACGAGUUACUUUCUCCGGCAAGGUUAAGGGCUUCAGGCCCGGAGCCGAAGCGAAAGCGAGUCUUAAUAGGGCGUGAUAGUCGGAGUGAGUAGACGCGAAACCAAGUGAUCUACCCUUGGUCAGGAUGAAGGUUGGGUAACACCAACUGGAGGUCCGAAUGGGUAUACGUUGAAAAGUGUUCCAAUGAACUGAGGGUAGGGGUGAAAGGCUAAUCAAACUUGGAGAUAGCUCGUACUCCCCGAAAUGCAUUUAGGUGCAGCCUUUAUUUAGUAUAGCAUGAGGUAGAGCGACUGAUUGGAUGCGAGGGCUUCACCGCCUAUCAAGUCCAGAUAAACUCCGAAUGCGUGCUAUAUAUUGAUAAGGAGUGAGGGCGCGGGUGCUAAGGUCCGCGUCCGAGAGGAGAAGAAUCCAGACCAUCAGCUAAGGUCCCCAAAUAACAGUUAAGUUGAACUAACGAAGUCGGACUGCAGAGACAGCUAGGAUGUUGGCUUGGAAGCAGCCAUUCAUUUAAAGAGUGCGUAACAGCUCACUAGUCGAGGAGUCCGGCGUGGAUAAUACUCGGGCAUAAACUGUUUACCGAAGCUAUGGAUGUAGAAAUACAUGGUAGGGGAGCAUUCCAACGGCGUCGAAGGUGAAGGAUGACCUUUGCUGGAGCUUUUGGAAACGCAAAUGUAGGUAUAAGUAACGAUAAAGGAGGUGAGAAACCUCCUCGCCGAAAGACUAAGGUUUCCUGAUCAACGUUAAUCGGAUCAGGGUAAGUCGGGACCUAAGGUUAAGCCGAACGGCGAUACCGAUGGAAGAAUGGUUUAAUAUUCCCAUACUACUUUAUGGAGCGAUGUGGAGACGGAGAAGUGAAAGUCCUGCCAUCUGACGGAAUAGGUGGUUGAAGAGUGUAGAUGUAGAUUCCUGUAGGCAAAUCCGCAGGGAGAGUCGACCUUGACAGUAUGCCGCGUGCUUGCACAAGGCAAAAUGGACGUAAUCAGGCUCCCAAGAAAAUCCGCUAAGCAUAUUCAUAAAGUACCCGUACCGUAAACGGACACACGUAGUUGGGUUGAAAAUACUGAGGCGCUCGAGUGAUUCACGGUUAAGGAACUAGGCAAAUUGACCCUGUAACUUCGGGAUAAAGGGUCCCUACUGAGAGGUAGGGCGCAGAGAAUAGGUCCAGGCAACUGUUUAACAAAAACACAUGGCUGUGCGAAAUAGAAAUAUGAAGUAUACAGCCUGACACCUGCCCGGUGCUGGAAGGUUAAGAGGAGAGCUCAUCGCAAGAGAAGGCUUGAAUUGAAGCCCCAGUAAACGGCGGCCGUAACUAUAACGGUCCUAAGGUAGCGAAAUUCCUUGUCGGGUAAGUUCCGACCUGCACGAAUGGUGUAAUGAUCUGGACACUGUCUCAACCGUGAGCUCGGUGAAAUUGUAGUAUCGGUGAAGAUGCCGAUUACCCGCGAUAACGGUUGCAUUUGUAUGACUGACUAUAUUAGCUUUAAUAUUAGGUGCAUUUACUGUAGUUACUUUCUCAUUAUCAAUCACUGCGUAAUCAAAUUUGUAUAUGUAACUAUUGGUGGUUAUUGGAGUUGUCUUCUCCCAGAAUGUACAUCCAGCAAUAAUAGUUUUCCUAUAGUCUGAAUUGGAUUGCUUUCUAGGUGCUAGAGCAUUAUAAGGGUCAUAACUUAUAUCUUCUUCUAUCUUACUAUUUUCAGUAUAAGAAUUAUAACAGAACCUAUUCCAUUCUCUUGUUAAUGCAGAAUAAAAACGAUAAAAUAAUUCUUUAUCAAAAGUACCAUUUACAGUAAACCUUUUCUGUACAAAUUGUUUUGGUUCAUACCAAUUUCUAGGCAUAAACUGUGUGUUCUCUGUUGUUAAUCCAACCUGAUUAAAAUCAGAAGCACCAAAUUGUGGAUUCUCACAUUUUGCAACUAAAUAAUCAUUGGUUUUAUACCCUUGUGCCAUUAUAUUAAACACAAGUGACAUAUUAAAUAUUAAAAGCGAUAAUCGUAUACUCAUGACUACUAAAAUCUUUAAAUCACCAUAUUCACACGACUACUAAAUAAUUAUCCAAUGCAAAUAAGCAAAAUAACUUGUUCUC
rnacentral:rRNA from 1 species